rnacentral:piRNA from 1 species
UGAGCAUACCUAUUCAAUAGAGGGUGUCU